rnacentral:rRNA from 1 species
GACGAACGCUGGCGGCGUGCUUAACACAUGCAAGUCGAACGGAAAGGCCCUGCUUUUGUGGGGUGCUCGAGUGGCGAACGGGUGAGUAACACGUGAGUAACCUGCCCUUGACUUUGGGAUAACUUCAGGAAACUGGGGCUAAUACCGGAUAGGAGCUCCUGCUGCAUGGUGGGGGUUGGAAAGUUUCGGCGGUUGGGGAUGGACUCGCGGCUUAUCAGCUUGUUGGUGGGGUAGUGGCUUACCAAGGCUUUGACGGGUAGCCGGCCUGAGAGGGUGACCGGCCACAUUGGGACUGAGAUACGGCCCAGACUCCUACGUGAGGCAGCAGUGGGGAAUAUUGCACAAUGGGCGGAAGCCUGAUGCAGCAACGCCGCGUGCGGGAUGACGGCCUUCGGGAUGUAAACCGCUUUCGCCUGUGACGAAGCGUGAGUGACGGUAAUGGGUAAAGAAGCACCGGCUAACUACGUG